rnacentral:piRNA from 1 species
UCUCUUCUCUUUCUAAGAUGU